rnacentral:rRNA from 1 species
UACGUAGGGGGCUAGCGUUGUCCGGAUUUAUUGGGCGUAAAGAGCUCGUAGGUGGUUCGGUAAGUCGGAUGUGAAAUCUCCAGGCUCAACCUGGAGGGGUCAUUCGAUACUGCCGUGACUAGAGUUCGGUAGAGGAGUGUGGAAUUCCUGGUGGAGCGGUGAAAUGCGCAGAGAUCAGGAGGAACACCAAUGGCGAAGGCAGAUCUCUGGGCCGUAACUGACGCUGAGGAGCGAAAGCAUGGGGAGCGAACAGG